ensembl:snRNA U6 U6 spliceosomal RNA
GUGCUUGCUUCAGCAACACAUACACUAAAAUGGAAAUGAUACAGAGAAGAGUACCAUGGCCACUGUGCAAGGGUAACACGCAAAUUCAUGAAGUAUUCCAUAUUUUU